rnacentral:lncRNA from 1 species
CUGUGUCACACUAUUGUGACAAACUACUGCUAGGCACUAUGAUACUUCCACCUUGUGGUUAUCAGGGUUCCUGAUCUACAUCAAGAGAGUUUGAUGGGACUUGUGAAAUAUCAUAAAUCUAUGGCUCCGACCACACACAUACCACUGCUUCCAUGCAUACAGGCAUGGGGUCAAUUCUAGUAUCAGAGUCAAGUUGUGCCAGGGAGG